GUCAACUCCACUUUCACCAGGAAAUAGAGGCUGUCCAAGAAGUAGUUCAGCAAGAACACAGCCAGCAGACCAGAUGUCAAUAGCUGUUGUGUACUCAGUUGCCCCGAAUAUUAGCUCUGGUGCUCUAUAAUAUCUAGAACAUAUAUAUGAUAUAUUUGGCUCCCCUUUUACCAAGACUUUUGCACUUCCAAAAUCACACAAUUUAACCUGGUGUGUAUGAGGAUUAACCAAAAGGUUUUGAGGUUUGAUGUCCCGAUGACACACUCCAAUUGCACGAUGGAUGUAUGACAAUGCCCUGAAGAUCUGCCAAAUUGUCAACAAUAUGUGAAUAUCUUGCCAAUUUCAAUUCCAAUGAACUAUUGUUUCAAGUAGAAACCAUUUCCAGAACUAAGUGAAAAUUAACUAGUGUCUAUGCAAAGAUGAAAAUAACAUGACAAAGAAAAUGACAAAAGAACAAAGGAAAAGAAAAUGACAAAUAUUGCAACCAUAUGAACUAGUCCCAUUCUCUAAUAAAACACCAUCCUAGUACCAAACUCAAGUGCCCCAUUCCAUACCUGGUAUGCAUAAAGUUUCACAUAUAUCAGUGGCAUUCUCUGAUUCAACUUGUUGUAGUGUUUAAUCACCCGGUGAACAGUUUCAGGGACAUACUCAAGAACCAAAUUAAGGUAAAGUUCAUCCUUCUCAGUUGUUGAAAAGAAACAAUGCUUUAACGAGACAACAUUUGGGUGGUCAAGAAGACGCAUGGUUUGCAGUUCACGGUUCUUAUACCUCUUAUCUUGAAGAACUUUCUUUAUAGCAACACUUUCACCAGUCUCCAAGCACUUUGCCUGGAAAACAACUCCAAAUGAUCCAUGCCCAACAACACGCUCAGCCAUGUAGCUUAUUGUCUGCUUUGGCUGGCCAUUUCUACCACCAAUUGUUGUAACUAUAAUAUGACCUGUCUCUGUACCAUUGCCAUCAACUACUGUUGCUUCCAUUUCUUUGUCAUCCCUAAUUUUCAUAUCAUUCAUCUCCUCAGGUAAUUUAUCAACACCAGCAUUAUGGCCACUAGCUUCUCUCAUACCAGUAGGUGCCACACCCACAGAAGCCAUUUGUUGGACAAGUUAAAAAUGUUUCUUAUCCUUGCACUGUGAUAGAACUAAACAUUUACCGAUCGAACCAGAAAAUUCUGGGUAUGAAGAAGAAGCUCUAUCGAAACGAUACCGUUUGGAGGAAGUAGGGGAUCAGACAAUAGAGAGAGAAAGUGGUGACGAUAGAUCCAUUUUUGUAGGUUAUGUGUGUAUAGGGCCUUCAGCUUCCUCCUUUGAUUUUUUGUUGUGCGUUUUACAUUUUUUUUUCCCCCUUUUUU
rnacentral:misc_RNA from 1 species